rnacentral:rRNA from 1 species
GACGAACGCUGGCGGCGUGCUUAACACAUGCAAGUCGAGCGGUAAGGCCCUUUCGGGGGUACACGAGCGGCGAACGGGUGAGUAACACGUGGGUGACCUGCCCUCAGCUCUGGGAUAAGCCUGGGAAACUGGGUCUAAUACCGGAUAUGACUCCAUGACGCAUGUUGUGGGGUGGAAAGCCUUGUGCGGCUGAGGAUGGGCCCGCGGCCUAUCAGCUUGUUGGUGGGGUGANGGCCUACCAAGGCGACGACGGGUAGCCGGCCUGAGAGGGCGACCGGCCACACUGGGACUGAGACACGGCCCAGACUCCUACGGGAGGCAGCAGUGGGGAAUCUUGCGCAAUGGGCGAAAGCCUGACGCAGCGACGCCGCGUGAGGGAUGACGGCCUGGUUGUAACGUACUUCUACGCUCGACGAGACGAGAGUGACGGUAGGAGCGAGAAGAAGC